UACGGGGGGGGCAAGCGUUGUUCGGAAUUACUGGGCGUAAAGGGCUCGUAGGUGGUCAACUAAGUCGGACGUGAAAUCCCUCGGCUUAACCGGGGAACUGCGUCCGAUACUGGAUGACUUGAGUUCGGGAGAGGGAUGCGGAAUUCCAGGUGUAGCGGUGAAAUGCGUAGAUAUCGGAAGGAACACCAGUGGCGAAAGCGGCUUCCUGGUCCAGCACCGACGUUCAGGCACGAAAGCGUGGGGAGCAAACAGG
rnacentral:rRNA from 1 species